GGCAAAUUAAAGUAACAUAACAUAACAUAUAUGCUUCUAUAUAUCAUUGUGAUUUCUUGUUCACAUUAUAUGCUUGUGGAUAUCCAGGAUCAAGCUUAUCAAAGAAAGCCAAUUCUUGUACGCUCAACGAUUUAAAUGGUUCAUUCAAUGGUGGCAAUAACUUAGUUUGUGGAUUAAAUUGCGUCCCCUCCUCAAUAUUUUGAGAAUUAUUGCACAAACUUAUAACCUUG
rnacentral:misc_RNA from 1 species